rnacentral:lncRNA from 1 species
UCGUGAAUAGUAACCCCGACAUGAAAAAUUUCCAAAUUUGAUAAAAAAUUCCAACCAAUAAUUUGGCAUAAUGAUAUUGAAGAAAUAAUAUCAUUUUUGAAUAAAAUAACAUCCCUUAUCUCGAAAGACAGUACUUCUAGUUGAAACACCGGAUAUAGGCUAUGACUUGAACUUGCACCGUAUAGCAAUACUCAAAGUAUACUCAAAAUACUCACAAGAAUA